rnacentral:tRNA from 1 species
GCCUUCGUGAUGUAGUGGUCAGGACGCUGGACGCGUAACCCAGAAGUCUGUGGUUCGAUUCCCGGCGAAGGCG